rnacentral:rRNA from 1 species
UACGGAGGGUGCGAGCGUUGUCCGGAAUCACUGGGCGUAAAGGGCGCGUAGGCGGCGCGGGUAGUCGUCGGUGAAAGCUCAGGGCUCAACCCUGAGUCGGCCGGUGAUACUCCCGUGCUCGAGCACUGUAGAGGCAGGUGGAAUUCCGGGUGUAGCGGUGGAAUGCGUAGAGAUCCGGAAGAACACCGGUGGCGAAGGCGGGCCUGCUGGGCCAGUUGCUG